UCAAACCUAAAAACAAGCAGCACUCGACACAUCUACUGAAGCUCAAACCAUUAGCAAAAAUGAAGAAACAACAUACAAGCAAGAUAAAGUGGGAGCAGAUGGAGCUAAAGGAGGAAACAAACAUGAGAAAUAUCUGAUUGUCAACAUGUCCUGUUAUUGCUAUUUACCAGCGAUGAACCUUCAGUCGCUUCAGGAAGUAUUCAGACUCCAGAACACCUUAUAGUGUUGGAAAAAUAACUUUAAAUCAAUUAAAUUAAAACUGCUUGACAUUUUUGUGUCUUUGCUUUGUCAUUCUGGGUUACUGAGUGUAGAUUAAUGUGAAAAUAUAUCUAUAUUUUCCAUUUAAAAUUAAAUCUACAACACUAAAGUGUACAAAAUAAGUCUCAAUACUUUCUGUCUGUUACUAUUUUGAAAAGAACUGACUGGUAUGUGAUUGUAAAAUACAGCAGGAUCUCACACGUUUUUAUCUCUAUUCUACAUAUAAUUACAGUAUACAACAUCAGUGAGGACACCCCGGGGCAAAAUCACUUAAAUGUCAAAUGAUUCCAACUUAAGUCCUCUCUCACUGAUUGCAUCAUUUCUAAGUGGAACAGUAGAACUUUUUAUAAAGACGAGUCCAGCUGUGAUUCAGUCGAACUGAUGAACAUGGUUCUAAAAUGAACGUUCUCCGUUCUGGACCUGGGUCUAUCUAUGUCUGCAUCACGGCACCACAUGGAAACGAACUGAACAGAGGAAGAGAAAAAUCUGACUGAGAGACUCGACAAAGAUGGAAAAGAUCCAGGAAGAUCAGUGAGCAACUAGAAGGAGUCAUAGAAGCACGGAUCAGGAGGUCUAGAAGGAGUCAUAGUACCAUUAACCAGGAGGUCUAGAAGGAGUCAUAGUACCACUAAUCAGGAGGUCUAGAAGGAGUCAUAGUACCACUAAUCAGGAGGUCUAGAAGGAGUCAUAGUACCACUAAUCAGGAGGUCUAGAAGGAGUCAUAGUACCACUAAUCAGGAGGUCUAGAAGGAGUCAUAGUUCCACUAAUCAGGAGGUCUAGAAGGAGGCAUAGUACCACUAAUCAGAGCUCCUAAAAUGACUCCAUGGACAGUGAACUACUUUCACAAAGAACAUUUAAAGAAGCCUGAUGGAUGUUGGAGAACAUUCAGAUGAAGAUCAAUGAGUUGGGUUCAGAUGGAGUCCAGAUGUUAAUUGAGAACCUGACCAGGACUACCACAGUGGAUGCAUCGUCCUGACAGUGAAGAACUUUGAAGUCAUUUUGUGAGUCUUUCUGGCGAUUUUGUGUGUCUUUGUGGUUAUUUUGUGUCUUUUCGUGGUCAUGUUGUGUGUUUUUGUCGUCAUUAUGCAUCUCUUUGUGGUUGUUUUGUAUCUCUUUGUGGUCUCUCCUGACCAGGACUACCACAGUGAAUGCAUAGCCUUGACAGUGAAGCACUCCGAGGUCAUUUUGUGAGUCUCUCUGGUGAUUUUGUGUGUCUUUGUGGUGAUUUUGUGUGUCUUUGUGGUCGUUGUGCAUCUGUUUACUGUUGACUAGACUACCACACACCAUCCUGACAGUGAAGCACGGCGAUGGCUACUGUUGAAUUUAUUAAUAUAUUAAAUCUAAACUAAUAGUUUGUAAUCUGACAUUAGGGGAAAUACUCUACUGUUCAACUUAGAAGUAAUCUGAUUACUGUAAGGAGCUACAGUGUAGAAUCAUUGGGUGACGUUUGUUGUAUACUGCAGGAAAGUCCAGCGGUUCUGUAAUGACAUCCAGGCUGAGGAGGAGCUAAACUGAACUGAUCCGUAGAAAUGUUCUGUCCGUCUUAUCUGAGGAUCUUCCAUUUCUGACCUUGUGGUUGUAGUAUCUGACCUGAGAUAUGUGUUGCUUGUCAGAACAAAAUGUGUUCUUCUGCUGAAGGAAGUCAUUGCUGUGAUUAGAUUGGGAGUCAUUAUGUCCAGGUAAUGAUCAUUGAUCUCUGGCCCCUAAUGGCACUUUGG
ensembl:lncRNA